AUGCAGUUGACGGGAUAGUUGUAGCAAUACGACUUUGAGAGCAGCGCACGGGUGCGUAACACGUAUGCAACCUGCCUUUUACUGGGGAAUAGCCUCUCGAAAGAGAGAUUAAUACCUCAUAACAUGUUUUAUAGGCAUCUAUCAAAUCUUAAAGCUACGGCGGUAAAAGAUGGGCAUGCGGCUGAUUAGGUAGUUGGUGAGGUAAUGGCUCACCAAGGCUACGAUCAAUAGGGGGUCUGAGAGGAUGUCCCCCCACACUGGUACUGAGACACGGACCAGACUCCUACGGGAGGCAGCAGUAGGGAAUAUUGGACAAUGGGCGCAACCCUGAUCCAGCCAUGCCGCGUGCAGGAUGAAGGCCCUAUGGGUCGUAAACUGCUUUUGUACGGGAAGAAACCUCACUACGUGUAGUGAGUUGACGGUACUGUGAGAAUAAGGAUCGGCUAACUUCGUGCCAGCAGCCGCGGUAAUACGAAGGAUCCAAGCGUUGUCCGGAUUUACUGGGUUUAAAGGGUGCGUAGGCGGACUUUUAAGUCAAUGGUGAAAGCCUGCAGCUUAACUAUAGAAUUGCCAUUGAAACUGAAAGUCUCGAGUGUGGUUGAGGUAACUGGAAUAUAUCAUGUAGCGGUGAAAUGCUUAGAUAUGAUAUAGAACACCAAUUGCGAAGGCAGGUUACUGAGCCAUUACUGACGCUGAGGCACGAAAGCGUGGGGAUCAAACAGGAUUAGAUACCCUGGUAGUCCACGCCGUANACGUUGCAUACUCGAUCUUAGCGAUACACAGUUAGGAUCCAAGCGAAAGCGUUAAGUAUGCCACCUGGGAAGUACGUUCGCAAGAAUGAAACUCAAAGGAAUUGACGGGGGCCCGCACAAGCGAAGGAGCAUGUGGUUUAAUUCGAUGAUACGCGAGGAACCUACCU
rnacentral:rRNA from 1 species